rnacentral:rRNA from 1 species
ACGCUGGGGGGGUGCCUUAAUACAUGCAAGUCGAGCGGACAGAAGGGAGCUUGCUCCCGGAUGUUAGCGGCGGACGGGUGAGUAACACGUGGGUAACCUGCCUGUAAGACUGGGAUAACUCCGGGAAACCGGAGCUAAUACCGGAUAGUUCCUUGAACCGCAUGGUUCAAGGAUGAAAGACGGUUUCGGCUGUCACUUACAGAUGGACCCGCGGCGCAUUAGCUAGUUGGUGGGGUAAUGGCUCACCAAGGCGACGAUGCGUAGCCGACCUGAGAGGGUGAUCGGCCACACUGGGACUGAGACACGGCCCAGACUCCUACGGGAGGCAGCAGUAGGGAAUCUUCCGCAAUGGACGAAAGUCUGACGGAGCAACGCCGCGUGAGUGAUGAAGGUUUUCGGAUCGUAAAGCUCUGUUGUUAGGGAAGAACAAGUGCGAGAGUAACUGCUCGCACCUUGACUGUACCUAGCGAGAAAGCCACGGCUAACUACUUGCCAGCAGCCGCGGUAAUACUUAGGUGGCAAGCGUUGUCCGGAAUUAUUGGGCGUAAAGGGCUCGCAGGCGGUUUCUUAAGUCUGAUGUGAAAGCCCCCGGCUCAACCGGGGAGGGUCAUUGGAAACUGGGAAACUUGAGUGCAGAAGAGGAGAGUGGAAUUCCACGUGUAGCGGUGAAAUGCGUAGAGAUGUGGAGGAACACCAGUGGCGAAGGCGACUCUCUGGUCUGUAACUGACGCUGAGGAGCGAAAGCGUGGGGAGCGAACAGGAUUAGAUACCCUGGUAGUCCACGCCGUAAACGAUGAGUGCUAAGUGUUAGGGGGUUUCCGCCCCUUAGUGCUGCAGCUAACGCAUUAAGCACUCCGCCCUGGGA